rnacentral:lncRNA from 9 species
GUGCGCCUGAGCAGUGCGCCAAGCUCUAGAAUCCGUGGAAGAUAAACGCUGCUCGCUGCCUGUCAGCCAGCGGUUUCCAGCGCAGUGAUUCUUUGUGGCAGCCGGAAGAAGGCCACAGCCAGCCUGGACACCGGCGGGGUCCUAACCAGCAUGUUGCUGCGCAGCGGCAGCUGCCCAUCAUGCUCCCGGGCCCUAAGCCACGGCUCAAGAGAGGGAAGGUGCCGCUUUUCAUUUCCCCCAAGCAUGGGCACCCUGGGUAGUGGAUAGGAAAGGAUUGAGGGGAGGUGGAUGUGUAAGGAAGUAGAGAUGGUGAAGUGCGGAACAAAGGAAAGCCCAGAGGGCCUGCGGUGCUGACAGCUCAUCUCUCCCACUGGGGACACUGGAAAACCGGAAGAAGAGGUUUAACUCCUGCCUGGACAAUUCAUCGUAUCUGACUUCGCUAGAUCCAAGAUCCUCGUGCACUGAAAAGGAACCUGGACAAUUGUGCGACUCAGAAUUGCAGGAGAGAGUGGCCUCCGUUCCUGUCACACCUGUUCAAUUUUCCUCUCCUGCUGCUUCCACUCUUGCCUGUAUGAUAAGAUUUGAGGAAAUCCUCUCUGAGAUGACUUGCCAGCUUACAAAAACAGACUUACCCCUACAGACAUCUGGAGGUCCCUCCAUAGAACAGCCGGUUCCUCCAAUCACUUCCUUUCGGCAUUUAGAAUGACUUGGAACAAAAGGAAGGGAACUGUUUGCGAAUGACUAACAGCAUGAAAAGCAAUGCCGAGAUUUUGUUCUACCUGACUCAGAACCUAAAGAAUUGGAGAUUUAUGGUUGUCUACAAAAUGCUGCAGUGAAAUGCGAAGAAAGGAGCCCAGACCAGUUAGGAUGGUGAGCUGUGGAAUCGGUCCGAGAGGGACUCAUGGGAGGUGGUGGGGCUGAGAUGCUAAAAGGAGGUA